GGAUCUGUAGCAAAAUUGCGUAAUGCACUCGGUUUUUACCCGAGGGAUUGAAGGUUCGAGUCCUUCCAGGUCCACCA
rnacentral:tRNA from 1 species